rnacentral:rRNA from 1 species
UGACCGCUGGCGGCGUGCCUAAUACAUGCAAGUCGAGCGAACAGACGAGGAGCUUGCUCCUCUGACGUUAGCGGCGGACGGGUGAGUAACACGUGGAUAACCUACCUAUAAGACUGGGAUAACUUCGGGAAACCGGAGCUAAUACCGGAUAAUAUAUUGAACCGCAUGGUUCAAUAGUGAAAGACGGUUUUGCUGUCACUUAUAGAUGGAUCCGCGCCGCAUUAGCUAGUUGGUAAGGUAACGGCUUACCAAGGCGACGAUGCGUAGCCGACCUGAGAGGGUGAUCGGCCACACUGGAACUGAGACUCGGUCCAGACUCCUACGGGAGGCAGCAGUAGGGAAUCUUCCGCAAUGGGCGAAAGCCUGACGGAGCAACGCCGCGUGAGUGAUGAAGGUCUUCGGAUCGUAAAACUCUGUUAUUAGGGAAGAACAAAUGUGUAAGUAACUAUGCACGUCUUGACGGUACCUAAUCAGAAAGCCACGGCUAACUACGUG